UUUUUCCUCCCCCCACACGCAGGGUGGGUGUUGGUUGGAUUGUUUGGUCGCAAACGCACAGUGAUGAGGCGCGGGGGGGUCGCCUCAUCAUAGAUUGUGAUGUCUUGAGGUGCGGUGGGCCUGGUGACGCAAGCCAGGGUGCCCCAGGAGCUGGUCCAGGAUGUCUGCCUCUUUCCCAUCCUGCCCCUCUGAGACCCUUCUCAGUCACAGUAGGAACCCCUCCUAUGCGUGGAUCACCUCCCUGCUAAAGGGAUCGAAACCCUGUCCAGCUCUGAUCCCAGAACCACGGAAAUUCUGCAGUGACUAUGGCCUGGAGCAGCUGUGACUGGGUGGCCCCUCUCCAGGUGCAGGUGCUGGACCUGCAGGAUCCUCCAGUGUGUCUCAGAGCCAGCCCCAUGUUUAAGGGCUUGCCCUAGGAUGCAGGUCAAAGGUAACCAGGCCCCUCCACCACCAGCAGUGUGGACCGCAACGUGGCGUGGCGUUAAUGUUGGAGUUUCUUUUUGAUACCAACCUUUCUGGAAAGAACUGCCCACGCGAACAUCACCUGCCCUGCGACCCGAUCAUUGCAGAACUCCUUCAGCAAAGCAGGAGGCUGGCUCCUGACAGACCUCUGGUCCUGAGGACUCGCUGGUACUCACCGUCAGCCGUCAGCCGCUGUGCAGGGCACAGGUGGUCCCAUGCCAGUCCCUGCCUCUGCCACCAGGGACAUAAAGGGCAGUUUGAUGUGGAAGGACUCAGUAAUAGCAGUGUCGUGCCACAGUGAGAAAGUGUGUCUCUGCUAGAGGUGCUCCCGCCCCCAGAACCAUUCUCUUCCAAGCAAAGCAAAGUUACAUUGUUAUACCUGUCAGAUGGCUUGAGGGAAGGCCGUGUGCCAGCAUCUAGUGCCCCGGAACACCUCAAAUGGAUCCUGGAUCACACUGGCUGCUGUGUGGAGGAAAAUGCAGCAGGGUGAAGCCAUGAGGAGGCCGGUGAAGAAAUAAACCCAGGCAAGGACUGAGAGUGACUUGGGCCAGGGUCGGGGUAGGGAAAAGAAUGCAGAUUCCAGAGACACCUUAAAGUUGCUGCCUGUGGGAUCUGCUGAUGUAGGAGAGGGAUGGGAGAGAGGCGAGAAAGAAAGUGGCCUGGAUAUUUGGAUGGACACUGAGGCAGGCCAGGCCAGUGGCUGGGGUGGAUAAAUCAGGAGGUGAGCAAAAGUGGUCUUGCUUUCAGUUUGUUGACACUUCCAACCAGAGGUGGCAGUGGGGCAGGCUCUGAAGAGAGUUGGAGAGUGGUGUUAAUCAAAUGCUUUGAGGGUGGAUAGGUCACUGAGGGAGAAGAGAGGAAGGAGGAGGGAGAGAAGAGGAGGGGAAGGAAACAAAGGAGACUGAGAGGUGAGGGAGUUAUUGGGAAGGUGUUAGGUUUUCUGGUUUUGUUUAUGUUCUUGCUGUGACCGAACAUUCGAAACAACUUGAGGUAGAGAUCUUGUAUUUCAGCUCCCAGUUUCAAAUGGAUUGGUCAGCUAUUGGCUCCAUGAUUCACGCCUGCUGUGAGGCAGAGAUCAGGUCAGUAGGAGAAAGGCAGGAGUUUCUUCUUGUACUCAGAGAUCAGACAGGAGAGGCAACAGCCAGAAGUUAGGCGUCCCUUUGUUUUCCCCUUUCUUUUCUUACUACAUCUGGAGACCACCCACACUUGGGACAGGUCUUCCCCACCAUCCGUAGGCAGUCAGGUAAUCCAUUUAGAUUGAUCAUGAAUAUCCUCAGAAGGGGGAGGGGAGAGGAGUAGGGGGAGUGAUAAACUAAGGAGAGAGAGGGCAGAAUGCAAGUGAAGGGUGUGCUUGAAGACAAAGGAAAUGUCCAUUAAGUGUGUCAGCUGCUCUGGAAAGAGGAGAUGAACAUCGGCCAUCGAAUACUGUAGACCAGGAAGUCUGACGAUUAUUGAUUAUAGAGAAGUGGCAAUGCACCCGACUCAUGACCAUGUGUAAGGCAUGCACACUGCCCUACAGGACCUGUACCACAGCCACUGUGGCCUCACCAGCUGGACUUCAGGAAUCACAAGAAUGGCAACCCAAGGAGAGAAGGAAGGAUAGCCGCCACACCCAGAGCACUGGCUUCUGCUGAGAGCAGAGGCUCUGGGAUGCUGUGCUGUGCUGACCUAAUGUGAGCCCCACAUCUUCUAUUACACAUCUUGUCCACUGCUCAGGGUGAAUGGGGUAGAACAGUCUAGAUUAAAUUUUUAUGCUGACAAA